UGGGGAAUAUUGGACAAUGGGCGCAAGCCUGAUCCAGCCAUGCCGCGUGUGUGAAGAAGGCCUUUUGGUUGUAAAGCACUUUAAGCGAGGAGGAGGCUACUUGGAUUAAUACUCUAGGAUAGUGGACGUUACUCGCAGAAUAAGCACCGGCUAACUCUGUGCCAGCAGCCGCGGUAAUACAGAGGGUGCGAGCGUUAAUCGGAUUUACUGGGCGUAAAGCGUGCGUAGGCGGCUUUUUAAGUCGGAUGUGAAAUCCCUGAGCUUAACUUAGGAAUUGCAUUAGAUACUGGGAAGCUAGAGUAUGGGAGAGGAUGGUAGAAUUCCAGGUGUAGCGGUGAAAUGCGUAGAGAACUGGAGGAAUACCGAUGGCGAAGGCAGCCAUCUGGCCUAAUACUGACGCUGAGGUACGAAAGCAUGGGGAGCAAACAGG
rnacentral:rRNA from 1 species